rnacentral:rRNA from 1 species
AGAGUUUGAUCCUGGCUCAGGAUGAACGCUGGCGGCGUGCUUAACACAUGCAAGUCGAACGCACCUUCGGGUGAGUGGCGGACGGGUGAGUAACGCGUGAGAAUCUGCCCUCAGGAGGGGGAUAACGGCUGGAAACGGCCGCUAAUACCCCAUAUGCCGCGAGGUGAAACGAGUUUUCGCCUGAGGAUGAGCUCGCGUCUGAUUAGCUAGUUGGUGGGGUAAGAGCCUACCAAGGCAUCGAUCAGUAGCUGGUCUGAGAGGAUGAUCAGCCACACUGGGACUGAGACACGGCCCAGACUCCUACGGGAGGCAGCAGUGGGGAAUUUUCCGCAAUGGGCGAAAGCCUGACGGAGCAACGCCGCGUGAGGGAUGAAGGCCUCUGGGCUGUAAACCUCUUUUCUCAAGGAAGAAGAUCUGACGGUACUUGAGGAAUAAGCCACGGCUAAUUCCGUGCCAGCAGCCGCGGUAAUACGGGAGUGGCAAGCGUUAUCCGGAAUUAUUGGGCGUAAAGCGUCCGCAGGCGGUCUUGAAAGUCUGUUGUUAAAGCGUGGAGCUUAACUCCAUUUCAGCAAUGGAAACUAGAAGACUAGAGUGUGGUAGGGGCAGAGGGAAUUCCCGGUGUAGCGGUGAAAUGCGUAGAUAUCGGGAAGAACACCAGUGGCGAAGGCGCUCUGCUGGGCCAUAACUGACGCUCAUGGACGAAAGCCAGGGGAGCGAAAGGGAUUAGAUACCCCUGUAGUCCUGGCCGUAAACGAUGAACACUAGGUGUCGGGGGAAUCGACCCCCUCGGUGUCGUAGCCAACGCGUUAAGUGUUCCGCCUGGGGAGUACGCACGCAAGUGUGAAACUCAAAGGAAUUGACGGGGGCCCGCACAAGCGGUGGAGUAUGUGGUUUAAUUCGAUGCAACGCGAAGAACCUUACCAGGGUUUGACAUCCUGCGAAUCCCUUGGAAACGAGGGAGUGCCUUCGGGAGCGCAGAGACAGGUGGUGCAUGGCUGUCGUCAGCUCGUGUCGCGAGAUGUUGGGUUAAGUCCCGCAACGAGCGCAACCCACGUCUUUAGUUGCCAGCAUUCAGUUGGGCACUCUAGAGAGACCGCCGGUGAUAAACCGGAGGAAGGUGUGGAUGACGUCAAGUCAUCAUGCCCCUUACAUCCUGGGCUACACACGUACUACAAUGCUACGGACAAAGGGCAGCAAACUCGCGAGAGCUAGCAAAUCCCAUAAACCGUGGCUCAGUUCAGAUCGUAGGCUGCAACUCGCCUACGUGAAGGAGGAAUCGCUAGUAAUCGCAGGUCAGCAUACUGCGGUGAAUACGUUCCCGGGCCUUGUACACACCGCCCGUCACACCAUGGAAGUUGGCCACGCCCGAAGUCGUUACUCCAACCCUUGUGGAGGAGGACGCCGAAGGUGGGGCUGAUGACUGGGGUGAAGUCGUAACAAGGUA